AGUGAACGCUGGCGGUAGGCCUAACACAUGCAAGUCGAACGGCAGCACAGUAAGAGCUUGCUCUUACGGGUGGCGAGUGGCGGACGGGUGAGGAAUACAUCGGAAUCUACUUUUUCGUGGGGGAUAACGUAGGGAAACUUACGCUAAUACCGCAUACGACCUACGGGUGAAAGCAGGGGAUCUUCGGACCUUGCGCGAUUGAAUGAGCCGAUGUCGGAUUAGCUAGUUGGCGGGGUAAAGGCCCACCAAGGCGACGAUCCGUAGCUGGUCUGAGAGGAUGAUCAGCCACACUGGAACUGAGACCCGGUCCAGACUCCUACGGGAGGCAGCAGUGGGGAAUAUUGGACAAUGGGCGCAAGCCUGAUCCAGCCAUACCGCGUGAGUGAAGAAGGCCUUCGGGUUGUAAAGCCCUUUUGUUGGGAAAGAAAAGCAGCAGGUUAAUACCCCGCUGUUCUGACGGUACCCAAAGAAUAAGCACCGGCUAACUUCGUG
rnacentral:rRNA from 1 species